CACGGGGGGAGCAAGCGUUGUUCGGAAUCACUGGGCUUACAGAGUUCGUAGGCGGUUCUACAAGUGGGGUGUGAAAGCCCUCGGCUCAACCGAGGAACUGCGCUCCAAACUGUAGAACUAGAGGGAGAUAGAGGUGAGCGGAACUGAUGGUGGAGCGGUGAAAUGCGUUGAUAUCAUCAGGAACACCGGAGGCGAAGGCGGCUCACUGGGUCUCUUCUGACGCUGAGGAACGAAAGCUAGGGGAGCAAACAGG
rnacentral:rRNA from 1 species